GAUGAACGCUGGCGGCGUGCUUAACACAUGCAAGUCGAACGGGAAUUACUUUAUUGAAACUUCGGUCGAUUUAAUUUAAUUCUAGUGGCGGACGGGUGAGUAACGCGUGGGUAACCUGCCUUAUACAGGGGGAUAACAGUCAGAAAUGACUGCUAAUACCGCAUAAGCGCACAGAGCUGCAUGGCUCAGUGUGAAAAACUCCGGUGGUAUAAGAUGGACCCGCGUUGGAUUAGCUAGUUGGUGAGGUAACGGCCCACCAAGGCGACGAUCCAUAGCCGGCCUGAGAGGGUGAACGGCCACAUUGGGACUGAGACACGGCCCAGACUCCUACGGGAGGCAGCAGUGGGGAAUAUUGCACAAUGGGGGAAACCCUGAUGCAGCGACGCCGCGUGAAGGAAGAAGUAUCUCGGUAUGUAAACUUCUAUCAGCAGGGAAGAAAAUGACGGUACCUGACUAAGAAGCCCCGGCUAA
rnacentral:rRNA from 1 species